UUUGCAAAGCUUCCCACAGCAGGAGUGCUAAAGAGAAAUGAGGUUGUUUAUACCAUGCUAAGUUCUGGAGUGGAAGACAAGGAGCCUGCUGCUGAUCUGCAGAGUAAUUGCCUUGGAGGGAAAGGACACAGCUCUGAGCAGCAUGCUUCCCAAAACUGACAGGAAUGCCAGUUGCAGACAAAUGGAAGAAAGCUUUGCUUUGGCUAAUGAAUGUUAUAAUGUACAUUGACUGAGUCUGAAAGAGGAGAAAUAGAAAGAGAUAUGACUGGUGGACAGAGAUAAACAUCAAGUGCAAAAAUAGAGGAUCCUUAAAUAAAAUACAUUGACUACCGGUGUCAACUAACUUUUCUAA